GGGUGAGUAACACGUGGAUAACCCACCUAUAAGACUGGGAUAACUUCGGGAAACCGGAGCUAAUACCGGAUAAUAUUUUGAACCGCAUGGUUCAAAAGUGAAAGACGGUCUUGCUGUCACUUAUAGAUGGAUCUGCGCUGCAUUAGCUAGUUGGUAAGGUAACGGCUUACCAAGGCAACGAUGCAUAGCCGACCUGAGAGGGUGAUCGGCCACACUGGAACUGAGACACGGUCCAG
rnacentral:rRNA from 1 species